AACCCCCUAGCCCUCCUUCCUCAGAUCCGGCGCUGCCACCUUGAAAUUCGCGUCAAACCGCUGCCCCGCCGCCACUUGUCACCUCCCCGUAGGCCAGCGCCGCCGCCAGCCUCGCCCUCCACCUCUCCCUACUUGCCACGUGGCCCCUACCCGCUCCCUCCGCCGCGGCCCUGCGAAGCCCGCGGGAGGCCCGCCCGGGCCCGACCGUAUCGCUCCCCGCAAACUACAUCGCCCCGAGCUCCAGAUCGGGAGAGGAGCUCCCGAUCCAGAGCCCUCGCCAACCUGUCGUCGCAUUCCUCCGCGCCGCCAUGCCAGAACCCCGCCACUGGGAUCCGUCGCCAUCGCUCUAGUCGGAGAGGGCCUAGAGCUCGCCGGCGCCGGAAAUGGGUCCCCGGAGCCAGAUCCGGCCUCUACCACUCCGGAUCUGCCAACCCUGUGCGUUGGACCUCGCCGGAGUCGCGCCAAACCGCCGUCGUCAUCCUGCCUCGUUCGGUGCAGCCUCGUCGCGCCCUCCUGCCUGUGUUGACCGAGGCCGCGCCAGGCCCAGAUCCAGCGCGCCCCUUUCCGGCCUCUCUCCACCGGCCGGGCCAAGGCCCAUGGUUGCAGGUGCCGAUGAUACCAGUGUAGGUGACGCUACCGAACUCAAGUGGGAGUUCGACGAGGACCUUGGUUGUUACUAUGUUUCGUUUCCUGAU